AAACAACUAUGAUGCUAAUUAGGAGGAGGAAGAAUGUUUUCAAAGUCUUUCACCAGGUAUCGAUAUUCAUCUCAAAGAGUUUGAACAACAGAUUCAAUUCUGUGUAGGGACCAUUUCUUCAUUUAUUCUUUAUUCCUACUAAAUCAGAAAUACCAAAUUCAUAAGUCAUUUGGAAGGGUAACAAAUGUUUGAUGGUUUGUCAACUAGUCUUGACAAACGGAUUCUACAAUGUACAGAAAUUAUGGAGACAGUUUUCACUGAUAGAUGUUCAGUGCCUCAAAGGAAACUCAUUAAGAUGAGGGAAUGCCCUCUCAAAUGUAACAGGAUUGUUGAAUAUAUCAACACAAAAGAUCACUAGCAAAUGGAUUCCUAAUGAAUUCCUGGUUGAAUUUGCCUCUGAUAAUUAUGUAUUCAUAUUCAGUUUGAGCAUUCAGAUGUGUUAAAUAUGGCCAAUAAUAGCACUGAUUUAUUUCCUCCUUUAAUUUAGAAUAUCUUUAAGUAGUUAGAAGGAAACCCUUGUUAACUAAUCCAUUGACAUCAAAAUUUAACUUUUUAAGGAACUUUUGCUGUCUCUCACUAAAUAUUAGAAAUGAUGAUAUGUUGUUCAUGAAGUCAUAAAGUCAGGCUUCUCCACUCUCUGUUUGAUUUUUAUGUGUAUGUGCUGCUCAUAAAAAUCAUCACACUGGUAGAGAUUCUUGUUCUCACAAUGCAGAUUCACAGUGUAUUUUCUCCCUGAAAACUUGUUAUUUUCUUUGGAACCUUUAUGCCAAAUGAUAUAUAAUUUGCAGUACUAUUUUCAUGUCUUUCUACUUUUACAUCUCCGAUGGAUUAAUGUUGCAGCAUUAAUUCAUUUUGUGUGAGUUGGUACUCUAAAAUACAAUAAGGCAGACAGCUUUAAACCCAUGUGAUGUUUAAUAUCCUACAAAGACCAAAGAGUCAUAGUGGAUAUUUCCCUCAAUCUAAAAAUAAGGGAAAAUACUAAUAAGCAAAUUAUAUAAAAAUGAAUCUGCUUAAAUAGACAGCACCCUGUUUGCCAGAUGUUACCUGAGACAACCAAUCCAUAUAUCCCAUGUAUGUGAGAUGUUUAAAAAUGUAAGAAUUACUAAGGACAUGAUAAAUUUUUAUGAGAAUCAUAAUUAAUCAUAUAGUUCAAAUUUCAUGGUGCCUGUCUAUUGCCAACCCCUAGUUUUUCACAGGUUUCACAUUGGAAAGCAAUGGGUUGUCCUUUGGCUUAUUUUAUUUUAGUAAUUAACUGUCCUUUAAAAACAAUAAAACUUUCAGCCUUCAGUGACUUUGAUAACCUAUGUGAUAAAGUCAGAACUCAUUAGCCUGAUAUUCAAGGUCUUCCCAGAGAGGCUCCAUCUUACCUGCUCUGACUUCUGUCUUAUACCUGCUGAUCCACCUGGGGUGUCUGCUGAAAGCAGGUCAGCACAAUGACUCAGAUUCUUCCCUUUCUUUCCCUCUCCCAUGCCCCAGGAUUUGUUUGUACAACUGGCCCAGGAAUCCUGACUUCAUUUAUUCUCUAUGGGUUAACCCAGGUUCUUGCUUGUGAAUGGAAACAGGAUAAUGGAGCUAAACCUAAAUGGCAUUUUCUAACCAUGUCUUCAUUAUUCAUUCUCUGAACCAUCCUCUCUAAUCAGUUUUUACUGAUUUCUUCCCCAAAUAUGCAUUUGCUUUCUCAUUUCAACUUAUAUUUACACUGUUCUAUUCAUCAGAAAUGUCCCUGUCUUGUCUGCCUCGUCAAAUUCUUCAACUCCCAACUCCUGUCUUACUUCCUAUAUAAAAUCUUAUUAGGUUACCUUAGCUGAACUAUCUUCUUCUUUCUGGAAUUCCUAUUGCAAUUACUUUUGUUGUAAUUAUUUAGGCAGUGGUUUCUUUGAUAUCAUUUACUGUGUUUUCUGGCAAUUGCACUGAAAUUGUAUACUGCUCUUCAAUUAAUGAUUAUCUAUUUCCCCAAACUAGAUUUUAAGCACCUUGAGGACAAAUAUUGCCUCAUAUGCCUGUAUUUCUGUUCCAGGUCUUUGGCAUACUGUUAAUAAUGAACAAAUAUUAUAUUACAGUAAAACUGUAUCCCAAGAUUUUCUCAGACUCAUCUAAAAUAUAGGCAAGAACUUAAUAACACUAAUAUGCCUGUUCAAUGAAGCAUUCUAUUCAAAAUGUUUUAUUAAUUCUUUACAGCUUCCUCAGCAUCUGAUUGGAAUCAGUGGCAUUUUAAUUUAUAUGUCUAUUUAACAAAUACUAAUAUAGUGUGCACUGUGUGUUACUCAUUUUCUAUGCACUUUACAAAUAAUAAUUUUAUUUAACUUUCAAGACAACCAUCUGAAAUAGGUGCUAUUAUUAUCCCUGUUUUAUGUAUGAGGAAAUGGAUUUACUGAGAAGUAACUCAGCCAAGGUGAUGGAAUUAGUUACUAAUAGGUUCAGGAUUUGAACCUACAUUUUUAACCACUGUGCUCUAGGAACUUAGUUAACAGCUUUAAUGAAUGAAAUGGUUCUGCUAAUUGAUGUAAGAAACUACUUACAUGUUUUGUUGGCUAGGUCACCUGUCACUCUCAGUUCAGAAUCUUUCAGGAAAUGUCCUUUAGUCUCUGGUGGGAGGUGUACUGCAACUAACCGUCCUUUGAAUUUAUGUUGCCAUGUACAGUCCCUGUAAUUUUAUUUCCUCUUUCUAUCUUUACUUUUGGGAUCUAAGCUUCCUUGAAUGUUUAGCCUUUUUGUCUUUUUAGAAAAUAUUGUUCCCUUUAUGAAUAUGUCUCUUAAUUGCUAGAGUUUCCUAAUAGCCAAAUGAAAAUUACAUUUUGGCUUAGAAAAUGCUUUCAUCUGUAUCCACUGGCUAUAUAUCUGCAACCAAAGUAAAGUGUGGAAUUGGGUAUUUGUUGUUUGCAGCAUUUGAGCAGUGUACACAUCAAAUGUGGUUAAUUCUAUUACCAGUAAUAUUUCUAGUUUCUUCUAAAAUUACCAUAAAGGUUUAGGUCUAGAUUAGAUAAUUAUUUCCAAUCAAUCUCCUUUCAAGUUGGAAAUGAAUGAAGUCCCAUGUUUUCUGUGUGCUAUUUCAUAUAUUUUGGCAUGAUAAUUAUUAAUAGCAAUGUAUUACUAUUGCUCUUUUGCUUACUUAAAAGUAUAUUUUGCAGUGGUUUAUUUUAUUCUAGGUGGGAGAAUAACACGUUGAUAUCUUCUUGAAAUAAAAAUUAUAUGUCAAUGAAUGUGACAAUGUUCUAUGUAAGUAGCAAUCGAGGAAUGACUGAAAAGGGAUUAUUAAAUAUUUCAAUGCAUGGGAAAAUAUUUCUUCUACCUAUUUACUGCCUAAAGUAAAUGCUAACCCAGAAGAUAUUUAUGUCUUGGUUUAGAAAUCUGUAGAGUGACAGAGCAAUCUGAGCUCUGUAAUGUAUGCAAAAUUUAUCAGGCUCAGAGAGACAUGAGUAUGGGACUUUGGCCACAUACCAUACCUGUGCCCAGGGACAACUGUUAGGAAACAUUUUGUUCCAGACUAGUUGUGUCACCUAUUAUCUUCAUGUUCCUGGAAUUUGUGAUACAAAGAACAAUGUAUAGCCAAUCGAUAGCUUAUGUAUUUGAAAGUAUAUUCUUGGUAAACAACUUAGGAACUGCCUCUUGUUUUUUUCCUAAAAAAACCCACUUGUAAUGGCUGGUAGUUGGAGUGUAUAAUCAGAGCAACUUGAAUCUACGCUCCUGAGUGGCCAUCUUCAACAAUCACCCUGGAAUAAACUCUUUUUAAACUAGAAAACAAAAACAAAGGAAACAACAAAAAAGAAGAAAUCUAUAGAGUGAACUAUAUUUUUCCACCUUGCAAAUAGAAGGGGCAAAAAUCAACCUUGCCUAUCUGAUGAUUUAGUGUCAUAGGGAUUCCAAAAUGUUAUUUGUAACGUGUACCUUGAUAUGCUAAUGGUGAAAUCUCCUGUUUCUUGAUUUGGUCUUCUCAUCUUACAUUUCUUACCUCAAAUCCAUUCUGCGACUUCACCAGCAGAUUAAUAUUCUUUCCUGGUCUCUUGGAAUUUUAAUAAAAACAGCAUGGUCAUGGGGUUUCAUGAAGCUUGCAGCCCUCUGGGGGAUGCAGAUAAUAAUCAAUCAAUCUCAUAAUUAAAUGUAAUUUUAAAUAAGAGCUUAC
rnacentral:lncRNA from 10 species